ACCUCAGAGAUAGCUCAGUGGGUAGAGCAUGCAAUUCUUAAUCUCAGGGCCAUGGGUUCGAGUCCCACAUUGGGUG